rnacentral:rRNA from 1 species
AACGAACGCUGGCGGCAUGCCUAACACAUGCAAGUCGAACGAAGUCUUCGGACUUAGUGGCGCACGGGUGCGUAACGCGUGGGAAUCUGCCCUUGGGUGCGGAAUAACUUCUCGAAAGGGAUGCUAAUACCGCAUAAUGUCGUAAGACCAAAGAUUUAUCGCCCAAGGAUGAGCCCGCGUAAGAUUAGCUAGUUGGUGGGGUAAAAAGCCUACCAAGGCGACGAUCUUUAGCUGGUCUGAGAGGAUGAUCAGCCACACUGGGACUGAGACACGGCCCAGACUCCUACGGGAGGCAGCAGUGGGGAAUAUUGGACAAUGGCGAAAGCCUGAUCCAGCAAUGCCGCGUGAGUGAUGAAGGCCCUUAGGGUUGUAAAGCUCUUUUACCCGGGAUGAUAAAUGACAGUACCGGGAGAAUAAGCUCCGGCUAAACUCCGUGCCAGCAGCCGCGG